ACGGCCAUACCAUGCUGAAUAUACCAGUUCUCGCUAGAUCACCGAAGUCAAGCAUCAUUGGGCGCGGUCAGUACUUGUGUGGGUGACCACCUAGGAACA
rnacentral:rRNA from 1 species